GACGAACCGUGCGAACGUUAUUCGGAAUCACUGGGCUUAAAGCGCGUGUAGGCGGGCCAUCACGUCGGUCGUUGAAAGCCCCCGGCUCAACCGGGGAACCGGCGCCGAUACGAGUGGCCUGGAGGGGGUAGGGGGACCUGGAACUUCCGGUGGAGCGGUGAAAUGCGUUGAGAUCGGAAGGAACGCCCGUGGCGAAAGCGAGGUCCUGGACCCCAUCUGACGCUGAGACGCGAAAGCCAGGGGAGCGAACGGG
rnacentral:rRNA from 1 species